rnacentral:rRNA from 1 species
GACGUAGGGCGCGAGCGUUGUCCGGAUUUAUUGGGCGUAAAGCGCGUGUAGGCGGCCCGAUAAGUCCGCUGUGAAAGUCCAGGGCUCAACCCUGGGAUGCCGGUGGAUACUGUCGGGCUCGAGUCCGGAAGAGGCGAGUGGAAUUCCUGGUGUAGCGGUGAAAUGCGCAGAUAUCAGGAGGAACACCAAUGGCGAAGGCAGCUCGCUGGGACGUGACUGACGCUGAGACGCGAAAGCGUGGGGAGCAAACAGG